rfam:Pelecanus crispus contig14568, whole genome shotgun sequence.
GUAAUGAUUAGCUCAGUUGGUUAGAACACGGCACUAAUAAUGCCAAGUUCACAGGUUCAAUCCCUGCUUACUGCA